UACGGAGGGGGCUAACGUUGUUCGGAAUCACUGGGCGUAAAGGGCGCGUAGGCGGCUUGGCAAGUGGAAGGUGAAAUCCCUCGGCUUAACCGAGGAACUGCCCUCCAAACUGCUUUGCUUGAGGCCGGGAGAGGUGAGUGGAAUUCCCAGUGUAGCGGUGAAAUGCGUAGAUAUUGGGAGGAACACCAGUGGCGAAGGCGGCUCACUGGACCGGUUCUGACGCUGAGGCGCGAAAGCGUGGGGAGCAAACGGG
rnacentral:rRNA from 1 species